AACGAACGCUGGCGGCAUGCCUAACACAUGCAAGUCGAACGCCCCGCAAGGGGAGUGGCGAACGGGUGAGUAACGCGUGGGAACCUACCCAGCAGUUGGGGAUAACCGCGGGAAACUGCGGCUAAUACCGAAUACGUCCUAAGGGAGAAAGAUUUAUCGCUGUUGGAGGGGCCCGCGUCGGAUUAGCUAGUUGGUGAGGUAACGGCUCACCAAGGCGACGAUCCGUAGCUGGUCUGAGAGGAUGAUCAGCCACACUGGGACUUAGACACGGCCCAGACUCCUACGGGAGGCAGCAGUGGGGAAUAUUGGACAAUGGGGGCAACCCUGAUCCAGCAAUGCCGCGUGAGUGAUGAAGGCCUUAGGGUUGUAAAGCUCUUUUACCGGGGACGAUGAUGACGGUACCCGGAGAAUAAGCCCCGGCUAACUUCGUGCCAGCAGCCGCAGUAACAC
rnacentral:rRNA from 1 species